AAAAUCUCAUUAAUGGUUGGGUUCAUCUCAUUCUCAUAUAGUUCAUUCGAGUUUUAGUUUUUAGAGACAAUUAAAAAAGACAAUUAUCUAUUAUAUGUGAAUAUUAGCUCUUUAAUUAUACUGUAUCGAAUUUUUUUUUAUAAUAAGUGGGAUUUUUAAUUUUUUUAAUGUAAUUUAUACUAUUAAUAAGUGGAAUUAAGUGGUAUGAAUG
rnacentral:lncRNA from 1 species